AUGUUGAGAUAUUGUAGAUGUUGUAGACCAAGCAACGAGGAGCUAAUGUUGCCUCCUAGCUUCUGCGUCGGCGCGAUGAAGUUGGGUUCACAACCAGGGCCCGGGAGAUCGAGCUUGACGACAUGUCUGUUUAUGCUGCUGCAGUGGACGCCCUUCCAUUUACAGCAGUCAUCUCCCUUCCAUGAUGAGAGGAAGUUUGUAGGGUCUGUGAGGCCCGCUUUGAAGCCAACAAGCGCGGACCUCUCACCGGCAAUACAGCUGGCGACCGUAUCGUUUGGGUUGGAAGAUAGUGAUGAUGAUGAUGACUCUACAAAGCUCUUGCCUCGAGUGAACAACAGCAGGGCAACUAAUAUCACUAUGUGGAUAUUGGAGAGCAGAAGCUUGCCCAUUGGUGCUUUUGACAUGGAUGUGUGCUCUUCUUGA
rnacentral:rRNA from 1 species